rnacentral:rRNA from 1 species
ACUAACAAGGAUUCCCCUAGUAACUGCGAGUGAAGCGGGAAAAGCUCAAAUUUAAAAUCUGGCGGUCUUUGGCCGUCCGAGUUGUAAUCUAGAGAAGUAAUGCCCGUGCUGGACCGUGUAUAAGUCUCCUGGGAUGGGGCGUCAUAGAGGGUGAGAAUCCCGUCUUUGACACGGACUACCAGUGCAUUGUGGUAUGCUCUCAAAGAGUCGAGUUGUUUGGGAAUGCAGCUCAAAAUGGGUGGUAAAUUCCAUCUAAAGCUAAAUAUUGGCGAGAGACCGAUAGCGAACAAGUACCGUGAGGGAAAGAUGAAAAGAACUUUGGAAAGAGAGUUAAACAGUACGUGAAAUUGCUGAAAGGGAAACGCUUGAAGUCAGUCGCGUUGGCCGGGAAUCAGCCUUGCUUUUGCAUGGUGUACUUUCUGGUUGACGGGUCAGCAUCAAUUUUGAUCACUGGAAAAGGCUCAAGGGAAUGUGGCAGCUUCGGCUGUGUUAUAGCCCUUGUUCACAUACAGUGGUUGGGAUUGAGGAACUCAGCACGCCGCAAGGCCGGGUUUCGACCACGUUCGUGCUUAGGAUGCUGGCAUAAUGGCUUUAAGCGACCCGUCUUGAAACACGGACCAAGGAGUCUAACAUGCCUGCGAGUAUUUGGGUGGAAAACCCAGGUGCGCAAUGAAAGUGAAAGUUGAGAUCCCUGUCGUGGGGAGCAUCGACGCCCGGACCAGAACUUUUGGGACGGAUCCGCGGUGGAGCAUGUAUGUUGGGACCCGAAAGAUGGUGAACUAUGCCUGAAUAGGGUGAAGCCAGAGGAAACUCUGGUGGAGGCUCGUAGCGAUUCUGACGUGCAAAUCGAUCGUCAAAUUUGGGUAUAGGGGC